GCCAAAAUUAAUGGUGUUUUUACACAAGAAAAUAUAAAUUUUGUGGAAAGUCUGACUCGAGCACAACACGAAAUUCAAGCAUGGCAUGAGUUAAGGAAUAAAAGCAUCAAAAGCAUUUGAUGUUUCACGAUGCAAAAUAACUGUUGGAUCCUUGGUUGCCUUAAUAAUGGGAGCUAAAGUACCAGAUACUCCAACCAUGAAAAGAGGAAAAUCAUUGGAAGAAGUAGUAAGAAAGGAGGUGGA